UCUGUGAACUCCUACGGGAGGCAGCAGUGGGGAAUAUUGGACAAUGGGGGGAACCCUGAUCCAGCCAUGCCGCGUGUGUGAAGAAGGCCUUUUGGUUGUAAAGCACUUUCAGCGAGGAGGAGGCUACUGAAGUUAAUACCUUCAGAUAGUGGACGUUACUCGCAGAAUAAGCACCGGCUAACUCUGUGCCAGCAGCCGCGGUAAUACAGAGGGUGCAAGCGUUAAUCGGAUUUACUGGGCGUAAAGCGUGCGUAGGUGGCCAAUUAAGUCAAAUGUGAAAUCCCCGAGCUUAACUUGGGAAUUGCAUUCGAUACUGGUUGGCUAGAGUAUGGGAGAGGAUGGUAGAAUUCCAGGUGUAGCGGUGAAAUGCGUAGAGAUCUGGAGGAAUACCGAUGGCGAAGGCAGCCAUCUGGCCUAAUACUGACACUGAGGUACGAAAGCAUGGGGAGCAAACAGGAUUAGAAACCCGAGUAGUCCAUCAGCG
rnacentral:rRNA from 1 species